ACACCGCCCGUCACACCACGAGAGUUUGUAACACCCGAAGCCGGUGGAGUAACCUUUUAGGAGCUAGCCGUCGAAGGUGGGACAAAUGAUUGGGGUGAAGUCGUAACAAGGUAGCCGUAUCGGAAGGUGCGGCUGGAUCACCUCCUUU
rnacentral:rRNA from 1 species